CUGCUCUCAGCCCCUGGGACCUUCUCACAGAUAGCCCAGGACUGAGGCCGCAGCAUCACAGAACACUUUCACAUGCUCUUCAUGUGCAGCAUCCGAAUCCACUGCAAGAAGCUGUACUGCACAACAGACUUCUUGGAUAUUUAUUUUUCAUCACUGUGCUUCUGUUAUCUGAUGACUUUUUAUGGAUACCAAAGCGAGGAGCUGAGAAGCAAGUGACUUCUAGAUUAGCUGAGAAAUGACAUCACAGAAGAAGCUAAGAGGCCCAUGGGAGAAGGACAAUGCUGUGCAGGGCUGAGGGAGCUCCACACAGACCCCAGGAUGACACAAAAACACCAUGCAGGUCUAUUUGCUGAACAGACAUUCUUAAAGAGAAAAUUCAUUUGUCAGCACUGAAUGAAAAUGAAAUCUCCAGAGGCCACAGAACAUAAUAGGCAAUAUUUAGAAAUUGAGAAUGAAAAUUAAAGCUGUC